rnacentral:rRNA from 1 species
CAAAAACAUGGCUCUCUGCGAUAUAAACAUAAAGAGUCGGACCUGCCCAGUGAAUUUUUUUUAACGGCCGCGGUACUCUGACCGUGCAAAGGUAGCAUAAUCAUUUGCCUUAUAAUUGAAGGCUAGUAUGAAUGGUUUGACAAGAGUGUUACUGUCUCUACAUAAAUAAAUAGAAUUUUAUUUUCAGGUGAAGAAGCCUGAAUUUAAUUAAUAGACAAGAAGACCCUAUCGAGCUUUAAAUAAGUUAAGAGAAUUAAAAUAAAUUAUAUUAAAAAAUUAUCUGUUAAAAAUUUUAGUUGGGGCGACUAAGGAACAAUAAAAGCUUCCUUUAAUUUAUAUAAAACGAUUUAAGUACUGAUCCAAAUAAUUUGAUUAAAAAAAUUAGUUACCGUAGGGAUAACAGCAUUAUCUUUUUUAAGAGUUCAUAUCGAAAAAAAGGUUUGUGACCUCGAUGUUGGACCAGAAUAUCCCAGAGGUGCAGCAGCCUCUAAAGGUUGGUCUGUUCGACCAUUAAAAUUCUACGUGA